rnacentral:lncRNA from 1 species
CAAGAUAUAAUCAUCACAAAUGAUUUAGAGAUAUGAACCACACUAACAAGUCACAAAUAAGUCUUACAAAUUUAAAAAGGUUUACUUGGCACACCAUGCAUCACACCGCAAAUAGUUCUCACAUGUCCACAAGCCAAAACUAGAAAAACUCAAAAGAUAAAGAUAACUCCAUCUAUCCAUGGUGAGCUCACUCCCCCUUUAGCAUCAAACUCCAAAAAGGGAAGGCCCUUCCAUGGGCCAUCACUCGUCGUCCUCAUCGUCAUCCUCAUCACCAUCAUGUUCUUCUUCUUCAUCCUCGGGAGUGUGAGCCUCGGAAAUAUCUUCAUCUUCCUCCUCGGAGUCCUCCUGCCCACCAAAGUCCUCCUCAUCACCACCUUGGGUAGCCCCAAAGAACAUAGAGGGCUGCCCUAUCUCCUCCCAAGGAUUGUAGAAAACAGGUGGAGGAGGGAAAUCCAUAGGAGCACGAAGAGGUGAGUGGGGAAUAUCAUUCUUGGCCAUGAGCUCCUUUUGCCUUUUCUUAAUCUUGAGAAGCUUCUCAUCCAUUUACUUCUUG